CGUUGUCUUCUUACUCGUGGUCUUUUGAGGUUUGCUUUGCUAUUUUCCGUAUUUACACCUGCUUAUUUUUCGGUCCUAACAAGUCUCACUAAUAAUUAUCUUUUAUUUUACACCCUAACUAAAAGUCUCAUCAAAGGACACCCCUCAUACAAGGAUAACUCCACUAAAUUGUUCGAUUCGAAAUAAGUUAUUCCAGAUAAUUUAUUCCGCCACGUAUAUAGGAUAAGUUAUUUCAAACAUGACAAUCGAACAAGAAAAUAAAUUUUUUAUACCAUCAAUAUUUAUUUAUAGCGCUCACACCAAAUGAUAAUUGAAUAGAAAUCCUCCAUCACAUUAAGUUGCAAAACUAGUUAUCUAGAUCUAGAGAUACAAUCUAUAUGUUUAAUUUCCUCUAUAAAUAGUUCACCUUAUUUUCAUAUAAUAUAACUCUUUGUUAACCCUAGCUAAUCUUUCAAUGGCAUUUAAAGUUAUGUUGUUGUUGUUCCUUGCUAUGUUUGUGUUGAUAGAACAUAAUGCUAUGGCAGUCCAAAAUAUUAACCCAAUAUGUGCAGCAUUGUGUGUAGUAAAGUGCAAUACAAAGCCUAUAUGCCUAACUUUGUGCCUUGCCAAGUGCUCUAUAACAAAAAUCACAUAUGAAGAAUCAGUUGAUACUGAGCCUACAAAUCAUGUUUGUAAUGUUGGAUGUUCUCUUGGUCAUUGCUUCAAGUUUCUUGUCAACUAUGAUCAUGACAAGUUUGGAAGUUGCAUGACAAGUUGCAAUGAGAAUUGUUGUAUUAAUGACAAUAUUAAUAUUGCUCUACCAAAAGCUUAAGAAAAGGCAUUAAGAAAUUAUGACCACAAAGUAUAUUUGUGUCAUCUAUGACACUAUGCUAAUUAAAUACAUUUGUGGUUGUAAUUUUCUUUUUAUGUAUUUGUAUUUUUUAUUAAAUAAAAAAUUGUGUGCUUUAAUAUUCCUAUAUAUAUUAAAGCAUGGGAGAAGAUUCUUGUUGCCUAUCGUUUUGUAAUUUGUCGUAUUGUAUUGUAUUGUAAUAAUUAUGAUUAUAAUUUUUAAAUAAAUUGUAUUA